CUUGCAACCAUAUCACAUUGAAACAUUGGUUCUCAUACAAACACCAAAGUUAAGCAACAACAAUCCUGGUCAGUACCUAAAUGGGUGACCACUUGGGAAUAUCAGGUGCUGUAAG